rnacentral:lncRNA from 1 species
CUUGAAGUCUUUUCUGUACUAGAAAUCUCAUUUAUGUGGGAGCUUUCUGUUUAGUGUAUGAACUACUAAAUAUAUACAAAAUAUAGUAUAUGUUUUCCUUAAGUUAGCAAAUGCUGCGAAGUCCUGCAUAGACUUCAUGACCCAACUAUAGGACAUUUUAGAGUAAUGCUUUCAUCUCUUUUUUUCUUCCUCUCGUUUUAAAAUCUCAAUAUAUUUUUCUGUAUUGUUGUAUUGAUUUAUUUUUGUUUGCUGCUACAAACUCCUUUUUUUUUUUUGGACUGAGGAGAGGAAAAAACUAAUAACUGGAUAAACCUAUCUUUCUCUUCCUUCCCCAGAGAAAAGAACUGAAAUGUUAGCCCAGAUUAUUGGCUCUGAAAGAGCCAGAAAACUCUUUGAACUGAAGUGACCGUCUCAUUUCAGAGUUUGGUCCAGUGUUCCCGGUCAAGCAACCGUCCUGAGAUGCUGUCCUCCAAAUGGUUACCCACGCUCUCUCCAUUGUGGUUCUCCACUCAGCCAGCAGAUGGGGAAAGAAAAAAGAAGAUCCCUAGAGAAGAGGCAGGCUUGAAAGGGGAGACAUCGAUUUGGUCCACAUUCCAUUGGCUAGAACUCAGUCAUAUGGCCAAGGAGGCUGGAAAAUGUAGUGAGCUGUGUGCCCAGGAAAAAAAGGAAACACUAGCAAAUAUUCAACUAGUUUUUGCCAGCUGCAAUGGGAGCUAAAUGUUUUCUGGCUUAUUUCCAAUGAAAAUAGAGUGCCUCAGUCCCUGUAUUCUAAGAAAGACACUGAGAUUCACCUUGAGUCACAGGCACAUCCCUGAACAGACGAACUGACCAGGGGACUGCAAUGGGCUGAUGGCCUCAAGCCCACCAGAGUCCACCUGUUGAACGAGAGGUGGGGUCGGCUUUCCCUGAAAUGUCUGGACUGCAUGGGAAAGAGAUUCACAGCAGCUAAAUGUACUCAGGACUCUCCGAUUACCACUGUCUUUCCAAUUUGGGACCUGGCUGUCAUCAAUCCAGGGAAAGAUAUUCAGGAAACUUUCCCUUUAAGUCGUGGUCAUGAAGAUAUGGAAAGUGCAUAUCAGAUCUGCGUGUUUGACUGUGGAAUUCAGUGCUGGAGGACAGAAAGAAGCAGAAGCUUUAUUUACAAAUUCACUGGAUUCUUUGGGGGCAAAAGGACACAUAGAAUAUGUGGUAGUGUUACUUUUCAAAACCCAAAGAGAUGAGGAAUCUAAGAAUCAAAUGACAGAAUAUAAAGCCUUUGUAAGACCUUUUUAGGAGCUCCAACAAUCCAAAGUCAACCACUUCAAAAAUAAAAACAAACUGCUUGGGAAUUUGUUUUUCCUGCUUAGGACUUGGUGCUUUCAGUGACGUGGGCUGGGGUUCAAUCCCCGGUAGGGGAACUAAGAUCCAGAGCGGCCAAAAAACAAACAAACAAAAACAAAAAAACCCUGCUUUCUACAGGGCCAGGCUGUUCUUUUGUUGUUUAGUGAAUAUGGUAUCCGCCCCACAGUAAGACAUCAUUGUGGAGUGCUCUGAACCAGAGAGACUAGCUCUGUGUGCCCAGCUUGGCUGGUCGGGAAAGAGGACUGUGCUCUGGCAUGUUGAUUCUGUGCCCCUGGCAGAGACGCUGCAGUGUUUGUUCCCGGACAGAAUUUCCCAACACAUCUGAAGUCAGCUUGUAGAGCAACAAGAUGCUAUGAGCCUGCACCGUCAUUAAGUCACUUCUAAUGCAGUCUCUUGAAAGACUAUGUAAAUGGCAGAGAGUCGAAUGGGAAUAGAUAUCUUCCAUUAUUGAUGUCAAGCAGGGAAUGAAAAUCUGAAGAUUCUGAACUCAUUGUAGUUAAUUAUAUGUUGUGGGGUUGGGAUGUUGGAAUCACAGUUCUAGGGCUUCCCAACUUCUUUGCAACCUACUCUUUAAAAAUAUUAUCCUAAGGUCAACAUCAGGAUCAUACAGAGAUAACACUGUGUAAAAGUUUUCUUAACAUGUAUGAAAUUUAAAAUAUUUUAAUUACAUCAACUAAACCAGCAAACUGUGUAAUUGCAAAAUUUCUACCAUUGAUGUGAAAUAUAAUUGAUGGUUAACUUUUUAAAAUUGAAGUAUAGUGAUUUACAACACUGUAUUAGUUUCAGGUGUACAGCAAAGUGAUUCAGUCAUAUAUAUAUAUUUUUUCUUUAUAUAUUCUUUUUCAGAUCUUUUACCUUAUAGGUUAUUAUAAAAUAUUGGGUAGAGUUCCAUGUGCUAUACAGUAGGUCCCUGUUGGUUAUCUAUUUUAUAAACAGUAGUAUAUAUUUGUUAAUCCCAAACUCCUAAUUUAUCUCUCCCCCCACUUUCCCCUUUGGUAACCUUAAGUUUGUUUUCUAUGUCUGUGGGUUUAUUUCUGUUUUGUAUAUAAGUUCAUUUGUAUCAUUUUUUUGUUGUUUUAAUAAGUUUUCUGCAUUUUGUUCUCUUGCGGCUACAUAUAUAUACACACUCCUGUCACAAAAUGCCUUACACGUGAGAGGAAAUAAUAAUAUUCACUUCAUAUUCCACUAUUGGGGGAAAUAAUAAUAUUCACCAAUUUGAAAUCUAAGUAAACCAAGCAUGGUAUAAAAUAAACUUCUCUAAUUAGGUAAAAGCACUAUCUAAAAUAUGCAUAAAUGGAGAAUCAUGGAAUAUUAAUGUUGAAUGGAAUUUAGAGAUUGUAUAACUCAGGGGGCUGUAAUCUCUUUGGAUACAUGAAUUGAGAAUCCAAUGAAAGCUAUGGAUCUUGUCUCUCAAAAAAUGCAUAUAAUUUUGCUUAUAAUUUCACAUAUUCAUGGACCUUCUAAUGCCUCAGUUAAGCAUCUGAUGUAAUUCAAGUCCUUCCUUUUAUGCUUAAUGGAAUUGAGAGUCAUGGUGACUAUGUAACUUGUAGCCAACAGCUACAGAGUGAGGGAGGGUAGAGAGUUCACUCUAGUUAAAAGCGAUUUUUACUAUCUUGGUUAUGAAAUUGCUAAGCAAGCGAUUGAUGUGAAAUUCCUAAACAAAGCCCCAUUGGCCCCAAGGUAUCUCCUAACCAGCUUCUAACAGUGCCUUAAAUUCUCGCACGUGUGGGUUUCAGGUAAUAUACAGUCAGCCCUUGAUAUCUGAGGCGGAAUUGGUUCCAGGACCCCCAUGCAUAACAAAAGCUGCGGAUGCUGAAGUCCCUUAUAUUAAAUAGUGUAGUAUUUGCAAAUAACAUACACGCAUUCUCCACGCUACGUAAAUAAUAGCCUGCACAUGACAAAUUCAGGUUUUGCUUUUGGGAACUUACUGAAAUCUUUUUUCCUGAAUAUUGUCGAUACGCAUUUGGUUGAAUCCUCAGAUGUGGAACCUGAGGAUAGGGAAAGCCUGACUGCACUUGUACUAACAAGGACAAGACAUUAAGCACUGCCCUGCAUUCAAAUGCCAGGUGAAGGCACCCAGAGGAUAACAGGGGUCACUAGCCCAGACUCUCUUUCUCUCAUGCUGAAUUCUCCUUUGAGACUCUUGGUCUCCUUAUCUGCUGUUGACUUUGAUGCCUUUAUGCAUUUGCCUACUUUUCCAACUGACCAGCUCUGCAGAACAUGGAGGAGGAGGGGCUAGAGAAAUAUGGUGUCAAAAAAAAAAAAGAAGAAGAAGAAGGGUGGGGCAGAAAACUCUCUUUAUCAGGAUUAAAGUUAAGCAAAGGCAGCAUUUUCAGGAAUACAACUGAUUCAAAAUUUUUUUGUAGCUAGAAGUGAGAGUUCUGGAAAUGUUUUCUAUUAAAUUACUAGGCAACGUAUUCUAAACAUUGUUGAAAUGUAUUUAAAAAUCCCCAGUUUUACGAGUCUCAUGCAAUUAACUUGGAGAAAUUGCACAUGCUGAAUAAGGUUGCGUUAAGGGCAAGAAGGAAGCUUAGAUCCAUAUUCCAGGAAAGAGGGGGAUUUCCUUGUGAACAUAUUUGCUCUCAAACAAAUCACAAAUUGAAAUAUAGAAAUAUAACCUUAACUGUAACUUAAAUAUAACAAGCACUUUUUGUGAUUGCUUGAGCAAAAUACAUGUACUUUUUGGCAUGACUUUCUU